UACAGAGGAUGCAAGCGUUAUCCGGAAUGAUUGGGCGUAAAGCGUCUGUAGGUGGCUUUUUAAGUCCGCCGUCAAAUCCCAGGGCUCAACUCUGGACAGGCGGUGGAAACUACCAAGCUGGAGUACGGUAGGGGCAGAGGGAAUUUCCGGUGGAGCGGUGAAAUGCGUAGAGAUCGGGAGGAACACCAGUGGCGAAGGCGGCUCACUGGACCGGAACUGACGCUGAGGCGCGAAAGCGUGGGGAGCAAACGGG
rnacentral:rRNA from 1 species